UAGAGUUUGAUCCUGGCUCAGAUUGAACGCUGGCGGAAUGCUUUACACAUGCAAGUCGAGCGGCAGCGCGGGGCAACCUGGCGGCGAGCGGCGAACGGGUGAGUAAUGCAUCGGAACAUGUCCAUGCCGUGGGGGAUAGCCCGGCGAAAGCCGGAUUAAUACCGCAUACGCCCGAGAGGGGAAAGCCGGGGACCGCAAGGCCUGGCGCGAUUGGGUUGGCCGAUGUCCGAUUAGCUAGUUGGCGGGGUAAGAGCCCACCAAGGCGAUGAUCGGUAGCUGGUCUGAGAGGAUGAUCAGCCACACUGGGACUGAGACACGGCCCAGACUCCUACGGGAGGCAGCAGUGGGGAAUUUUGGACAAUGGGGGAAACCCUGAUCCAGCCAUUCCGCGUGAGUGAAGAAGGCCUUCGGGUUGUAAAGCUCUUUUGUCCGGAACGAAACGGUUGGCGUGAACAUCGCCGACUACUGACGGUACCGGAAGAAUAAGCACCGGCUAACUACGUGCCAGCAGCCCCGGUCA
rnacentral:rRNA from 1 species